rnacentral:misc_RNA from 1 species
GAUGAAGAACGUAGCGAAAUGCGAUAAGUAAUGUGAAUUGCAGAAUUCAGUGAAUCAUCGAAUCUUUGAACGCACAUUGCGCCGGGUAGUAGUCUGCCGGGCAUGCCUGUUCGAGCGUCAUUUCAACCAUCAAGCCCCAGCGCUUGUGUUGGGGGCCUGCGGCUGCCGCAGCCCCCCAAAAGCAGUGGCGGGCUCGCUAUCACACCGAGUGCAGUAGUUCAUCUUCUCUCCGGUCUUGUGAGGCGGGUUCCGGCCGUGAAACACCCCACUACAUUCAAGGUUGACCUCGGAUCAGGUAGGAAUACCCGCUGAACUUAAGCAUAUCAAUAAGCGGAGGA